ACCUUCGUGGUGUAGCGGUCAGCACGCUCGACGUGUAACCGAGAGGUCCGUGGUUCGAUUCCCGGCGAAGGCC
rnacentral:tRNA from 1 species